UAUAUUGUAAUUACCGUCGGUUCGCUGGUACGGCCAGCGAGGCAAGAGGGAAUCCGGUGAGAAUCCGGGACUGCCCCGCAGCGGUGAGCGGGAACGAAAGCCGCAGUACGGCACUGGGAGGUCCUCCUGGGAAGCCGCGGCGAGUAGGCCAUCGGCCCGCAAGUCCGAAGACCUGCCGACGGUCCACGCGGUGC
rnacentral:ncRNA from 2 species